rnacentral:rRNA from 1 species
CCUACGGGUGGCUGCAGUGGGGAAUAUUGCACAAUGGGCGGAAGCCUGAUGCAGCGACGCCGCGUGAGGGAUGACGGCCUUCGGGUUGUAAACCUCUUUCAGCAGGGACGAAGCGUGAGUGACGGUACCUGCAGAAGAAGCGCCGGCCAACUACGUGCCAGCAGCCGCGGUAAGACGUAGGGCGCGAGCGUUGUCCGGAUUUAUUGGGCGUAAAGAGCUCGUAGGCGGCUUGUCGCGUCGACUGUGAAAACCCGCGGCUCAACUGCGGGCUUGCA